CCCUAGACUGCAACAGAGGCCGCACACCCCAGACCCCAAAAUCCUCUCUCUCUCUCCAACAGUGCCGAAACACACCCACCUCCAUUUUAUUAUCCCUUCUCAUUUUCUUUCACCCAUCGCCACUCACUCUCUUCUUCUCUCUAAUUUUCAUCUUUUUGAGACUCACUCAAGGCUUCAAGGGAAUCAUCAUCAAGAGUAUCACACCUUAAUUUGGGUAGUUGGGUGAAGAAAUUGCUUGAUUCAUACUAGCUCAUAGCUAGAAGUGAACAAGCUAACUCUCCCCUCUCUUCCUUAUUAUCUAUUUCAUAAUUUUUAUAUACUUUUAUUGAUGAAUUCUUGUAUGGGUUGUGAGUAGUUUAAUUUUGGGAGUUAGGGUUGUGAAGCCCUAACUCAUCUUGUAUAAAUAUUGAUGCUUUAAUUUUAAUAAAUGCAAUUUUCAUUGUGCUUUGUCACCCUUUGA
rnacentral:lncRNA from 1 species